rnacentral:lncRNA from 1 species
CAAAAUUGUUAGGGGCACAAAAUUUCAACACCCUGUGCUGCCUCAAUACAGCUACCAUCGCUGGGCUCUGUUGAAAACGGCCUGUCCAUGUGAACCAGGAAGUGACCUCUCCAGACAAUGGAGUGACUCUUCUUUUCUUAUCUCUGUGGCUGCGAUCUCCUGGGUGACGCUGAAUGUGCAGGCGUACUCCGUCCAUUUCUCUCCUUCCUACCCUCCCUCCACAUGGCCCCGGAUGCUGGCAACCCAUGCUACGUCACUGAUAACGCCUCUCAUGUAAGUGCUGAUCCAUCAAUGCUUGUCCAUCACUUGAUGAGGGCCGACCUCCGGUGAUCACUUGUACUCGAAAGGGAAACAUCACAGAUCUUUUAAUAUCACCUUGCAUCCGUUCACACGUUUAUCUGUUGCGAGUAAGCAGGCCUUGCGCAAAGACGACCAAGUGAGGCAAAAUGAUGUGUGUGUACACACAGACAAUUCCAUCCCCUUCCUCCAAGACUGGUAUGGGUGGAGGUAGCAGCCUUGGGGAGCAAGUGCAUCAUCUGUCUGCAAUGAAACCAGCACGCCUGUGCACCAGUGGACCUGACACAAUGUGAGAACUAUUUUUUCUAUAUCACUUACAUUAUAGCAGAAAUGUGAAAUGAACUCCAUGUGGCAGCGGCCAAUAAAAAAGAGGGGGCCAGUGAAUUAAGAAGCGUUCUCCAAAAAGUUUCAGUUAUCCCUUGGAGCUAUAUGACAACAUAGACUGCCCUAAUUGAAACAGUGUGAGAGCUUCCCCCGCCUCACCCCCCCCCCCAAGUUAAAUCACUGCAAGUCCUUGUCCAUCCCGCUCCCACCCCAUCUCCCGGAAAGACAGACAGUUAAUAGAAAAGGACACCCCUGCCACCUUUGAUAUCUAUUAUUUCCCUCAAGAAUUUAACUGUUAAAAAUAAGGAAUGAGCGUUCGCCUUUCUCCUGCCCCCCUUCUCCUCAGUCCGCAGCAUUAGCAGCCUCUGCCUAUUCCCUCUGGAGGCCCAGACACUUGAUACAAAGGGAACUGUAUGGGAUGUCGGCCCCUUUGGGGUUUCAUAUUUUCCCUCAGUAUUUCUAACAGCUAAAGAUGACACCACAUCCCUCUGCCAUCCCCUCCAAAGAAUUUGCCCCCAAGGGAGCUGCACUCGGAGUUAAGUUACUUGGAAUAAACCUCAAGAAUGAAGUCCAAGCGACUCGCAUCCGUCACAAUCAGGUGGGGAGUUUGAUCCUAUGUCAUGUUUACCUGGGAGUAGGCCCACUGAACACACAGCAGGAUUUACUUGUGAGUAAGCAUGCUGGAAGAUUGACAUGGUCAGUGCAUUUACUUGGGAGGAAGCUGUGCUUGCUGGGUCUGAAGUAAACAGGUGUAGACUCAGGCUGUAAGCUUUCUUGAAAUAAUUAUUAAUAAUAAUUUUAUUAUUUGUAUGCCACCCAUUUCCGAGCCACUUUCAAAGGCAGCCCCAUAUAGAGCACACUGCAGUAAUCCAAGCAGGAGAUAACCAGGACAUCUACAACUCUGGUGAGACAAGGCAUAGACAGUUAGGGUUUCAGCCAUUUUACCAGGUGGAAUUAACCUGGGCUUCCAUGGACAGCAGUGAGUCCAAAAUGACCCCAAGGCUGUGCACCUGGUCCUUUAGUGGCACAGUUUCCCCAUUCAAGACCAGGGAGUCCCCCCCACCUGCCCAUCCCCUGUCCCCCAGAAACAAUACUUCUGUCUCGUCAGUCUUUCUUCAGCAUGGUGCAAACCUGAAAAAUACUGAAAGUCCUCUAAGUAAUCAUGCAAAGACUGAGGAUCACUUUUGAAAUAUCAGAAGUAUUUUAAAUCAUGUAAAGGAUCCCAUCUGCUGUAGAUGGAUGUUCAGUUGGUUGAACAAUGAGACUUUUGUACCCAUAUUUUCUUCUGCACAGCUUUGCAAAAAGGUCAUGCAUUCUAUUACUUCUGAUAUGACAAGUGCAGGAGAUCUUAAGAACUUAAGAAGAGCCCUGCUGGAUCAAGACCUAUCUAUUACAGCAUCCUAUAGGAAGCCCACAAGCAGGUCAGGAGGGCGAUAGUCUCAGCGGGUGGCACUGUGGUUUAAACCAUUGAGCCUCUUAGGGCUUGCCGAUCAAAAGGUCAGCAAUUCGAAUCCCCACGACGCAAUGAGCUCCCAUUGCUCUGUCCCAGCUCAUGCCAACCUAGCAGUUUGAAAGCACACCAGUGCAAGUAGAUAAAUAGGUACCACUGCGGUGGGAAGGUAAACGGCAAUUCCAUGUGCUCUGGUUUCCGUCAUGGUGUUCCGUUGUGCCAGAAGUGGUUUAGUCAUGCUGGCCACAUGACCCUGAAAGCUAUCUGUGGACAAAUACCAGCUCCCUUGGCCUGAAAGGGAGAUGAGUGCCGCAACUCCAUAGUCGCCUUUGACUGGACUUAACCGUCCAGGGGUCCUUUACCUUUUUAGUCUCAUUGUGCUCAUGGUCACCCGUAAUUGGUGUUCAGAUGCAGUCCCCCUUUGUACCUGGUGUUAGCACCUAAUGACUAAUCUUCAUGGUAGAUUAUGCCUCCAGGCUUUGUUAUUUCUGACUUCUGCCACAACCACUUACUGCAUGUACACAAUAAAGCCUCUAGUAAUCUUUACUCACCGCUAACUGGAAGUUAAACCAGUUUAGCUGCCUGGAGUUCAUUGGGAAGAAAUUGGUUUCAAUCUAAAACCCUCUUAAGGGGCACAGAAUUAAAUGACAUAAAGUAAAUAAAUAUCAGGAACCAAGCCUGGCAUGUGGGAAUAGGAAAAAGGGGAGGGGAAAAUCUUUCUUCCUCUAUAUGAAUUAAUACAUAAGUUACGAAAACAUACAACUGUUGUUUUAAACGAAUGGGAUCAAGAUGGAUUAUGAGGUCUUUGAAAGGGAAAUCUCUUGAUUUAAAUGUAUGCCCCGCUCUGAAUUGUUUCCGUUUAGGAAGAAGAACAACUGAAAUGUCAGAAACAGUCUAAGCAGCUCCAAGACUCAUUUCAAAUGAAGGAAGCACCAAAACGCAACCAAAGAAACAGUGGAUGUGGACAAACUGUAGAUCAGUGUGAGAACUAGACAUUUCUGUGCCAAGGGCAAACACUUAGUUCCCUGUCUACCUCUUUUCCUGAAGCUCUCCAGGGAUUGAUGGACUCAGCCCAUGAGCAGCAUGGGAGAAAUCAAUAUUCUUUAGGUGGGGCACUGCAAUAAUUGACAACAGGUGUGGCUGGCUCGGGAGGGUGGCAAGGCUGGGCACAAUUCAAAGUGUUGGUGCUCACCUUUAAAGCCCUAAAUGGCCUUGGCCCAGUAUACCUGAAGGAGCGUCCCCACCACCAUUGUUCUGCCCGGAGGCCCAGUGCCGAGGCCGUUCUGGCGGUUCCCUCACUGUGAGAAGCCAAGUUACAGAGAACCAGGCAGAGGGCCUUCUUGGUAGUGGCACCCGCCCUGUGGAACACCCUCCCACCAGAUGUCAAAGAGAACAACAACUACCAGACUUUUAGAAGACAUCUGAAGGCAGCCCUGUUUAGGGAAGCUUUUAAUGUUUAACAGACCACUGUAUUUUAAUACUUUGUUGGGAGCUGCCAAGAGUAACUGGGGAAACCCAGCUGGAUGGGUGAGGUAUAAAUAACAUAUCAUUAUUAUUAGUAUUAGUAUUAGUAUUAUCAGGGCCCUGAGAGAAACAGAGGGUCCUCUGUCCCAAGAAUGCUACAUUUCCAUUUUACACAAAGUACCCAAGAAAAUCUGAUGUGACAUAAUGCCACAGCCCUGAGGACAUCCAUCUUACCUCUUAUAUGGCAGGCAAUCUCUAGCCUUGCUCAGCAGAGCUUCUGCGAUAUUUUUGAGUGCAGGUGUUUAGGAAUAAGGGGUGUUAUUCUCUACAAGCACCUCUCUAUGGCAGAAGCUUCUGCCAAUUUCUUCAGUAUGAUUCUGAAACGUGCCAACAUUCCUCUUCCAUUUUGGACCUUCAGUUUUACCAAAGCAUCAGAAAUCUUUGCCUAGCAACAUUUCCCACUGCCAUUCCUUGUUCCCAUUAUUUGGCACUGGCUGGCGCUGAGUUUGGAAGUUUCACACUCACUCACUCAGCUAAUUACAUGGAUAUUUCUUUUUAACUCCCCUGCUUGCUUCUUGAGGGCUGCCAAGCAUCGUGGCCAGACUGCACAAAGAUGGGGUCAGCUUUGCUUUGAAGUUCUGUUACUACUCCCCUUCAGGCAGAGCUUCAAAGGAAAAUUUCAGUGCAAUGCUCAACAGCACCAGGAAGCAACCGGGACUGAAAAUGAAAUUUUGUAGCAGAGAACCAGGCACUUUGUGGCAUAAAACGCAGGGCUCAAAUCGAAAGCAAAGGCCCUGAGAAAAUCUGAGUGUGCAGCUGAGAAUAUUUCUACCACCGAAGGUCACAAUGUCAGCAUGACUUCUGCAAAGUGAAAUUUGCCUCGCUAUUAUCUUUGUGUUCUACAGGAAUGUCAGUAAGCAUGCAGAUAGGAUGAACAUGUAGACACUAUAUGCCUGGAUGUUCACAUUUCCUUUUAACAAAUCACUCAACAAAGUCUCCUAAGGAAACUUAGUAAGCAGUCAUGGGGUAGAUAAGAAUGCAGGAACAAAAAAAUGCAAAGAUUAGUAACUGAGCAAGUCAGACCUGCAACAAAAUGUUGCAGUGUGGAAUUUUCCAGUUCAGUGCUACAACCAGUCAUUUAGUCAUAUCUUCCACCAUUAUUCAUCCAUUUAAUUAUUAAAUUUGUAUACCUCCUUAUGACCAUACAUCUUCAUUGCAUUCCCCAUCCUACUCAGCCACAACAGUUAGUCAGCAGGUAAAGGUAAAAAGAUAAAGGUAAAGGACCCCUGGAUGGUUAAGUCCGACUAAAGGCGACUAUGGGGUUGUGGUGCUCAUCUCGCUUCAGGCCAAGGGAGCCGGCAUUUGUCCACAGACAGCUUUCUGGGUUAUGUGGCCAGCAUGACUAAACCACUUCUGGCACAAUGGAACACAGUGACGGAAACCACCUAUUUAUCUACUUGCACCUAUUUAUCUGCUUGGCAGGAGCUGGGACAGAGCAACAGGUGCUCACCCCAUCACGGGGAUUUGAACCACCAACCUUCUGAUCGGCAAGCCCAAGAGGCUCAUUGGUUUAGACCACAGCGCCAACCGCAUCCCAGUCAACAUGUAUUUACUUAUUGAUAUGAUUAUUUGUGGUGUGUGUGCAUAUUGCCCAUUUGACAUGUUGUGAGCCAUUCCGUGGACAAUUUCAUACAAAAGCAGCAUAUGAAUGAAUGAAUGAGAAUUCCACAACCUCUGAGCAUGCUUAGCUGUUACCGGGCUGUUUUGGGAAUUUCCUUUUAAAAAAUUAUUAAGCUUUUUUUUUGUACUUCUGCAAACUUUGGGUUCUCCCAAGCCUGUUGAUACCUCCCACUUUUGCAUUAAUGGUUCUAUUUUGACUGCAUUAGGACUGCCAUUUGGCUCUGAAGUUCAGAAAUAGAGGAAAGGAUUAAGGGAAAGGAAACGGUGGCCAAAAAAGCGAUUGUUUUCACAAGGGGUAGAGUGGAUAUAUUAUGGGACCAAUGCUCUUUAAUGAAUAUUAAGCAGAUUGUAAAAGUUGUGGAGCCAGGGUAAAUAGUGAAAUAUCCAAACCUGCAAAUGGCAGCAAAUUAUUCAAAUGAGAAUAUUAUUCACACAAUGCACAAUUAAUGUAGGGCGUUCUAGCCAGUUAGACAAACUCACAUGCUGCAGAAGUAGCCACUGAGGUAGCCUCCAGAUUAAGAUACAAUUCCCAUCAGCUGCUGCCAGCAGGGCUAAUGCUCGGGGAUGAUGGGAGUUGUAGUCCAAUGAGGCACAACAUUGGCUAUCCCUGUGAUGAAAGACACCCCCCCCCCAGUUUCAGAGGCAGCACACUACUGGAAACCAACAGUGGAAGAAGGUUUGAGGACUUCUGAUAGAUGUCUGGUUGAUCUCAGUGGGUUGCAGAAUGCUGGGCCUCUGAUCAGACUCAGCAGAAAGAACUCUUCUUCUGUUCUUAAAACCACUUGUGAGAAGCAACUAAGUUAAGUGCAAAAUGCCAAACAUGUCCACAUACACAGACUCCCUGAUUACCUGUUUCUGACUACAAACCAUGGAAAAUGGGUAUAUUUAGUAUGUCUUACAUUAUACUAUUUAAUACAUUUUGGCAACAGUGUAAGUGGUACCUUGGGUUACAUAAGCUUCAGGUUACAUACACUUCAGGUUACAGACUCCGCUAAGCCAGAAAUAGUGCUUCCGGUUAAGAACAGUUUCAGGUUAAGAAAAGACCUCCAGAACGAAUUAAGUACUUAACCCGAGGUACCACUGUAUGCACAUUCACCUGAGAAUGUGCUCCUUUGAACACAGUAGGGUUUCCUUCCAAGUAAACGUUCAUUAUAUUACACUGUUUAAUAUAGUACGCUCUAAACAACUUUGCAAAAUCCUUUUGUUAGAUAUGGGCUAUUAUAAAGAUGUUCUAACUGCAGGUAUAUGAACAGUUGUGUAUUAUCUUUUUGUACCCUCAGUGUAACAUGGAAGGGAAAACAAACCCACAUAGCAAAUCUGCAUGAAGCAGCGUAGCAGAAUUAGAGCAACUUAUUUUGCAUAUGUUCAAUGAAAUGACUGAGAGCGGCACAAAACUAUCCAUAUAUCCAAGAAUAAAUGCAUUGACAGAC